rnacentral:rRNA from 1 species
UACGUAGGGCGCAAGCGUUUGUCCGGAAUUAUUGGGCGUAAAGAGCUCGUAGGCGGCUUGUCACGUCGGGUGUGAAAGCCCGGGGCUUAACCCCGGGUCUGCAUUCGAUACGGGCAGGCUAGAGUUCGGUAGGGGAGAGUCGGAAUUCCUGGUGUAGCGGUGAAAUGACGCAGAUAUCAGGAGGAACACCGGUAGCGAAGGCGGAUCUCUGGGCCGAUACUGACGCUGAGGAGCGAAAGCGUGGGGAGCGAACAGG